GGCGAGAUAAUUUAAAAAAAAUUUUAUCCUGCAAAGAUAAACUUGUUCCUCUAGGGCUUUCGCUU
rnacentral:tRNA from 1 species